UUGACACAACAGAAGAUCACACAGUCAGAUACAUACAGAAUACAGGUGAACUACGUGGCACAGUAUUAUACAAACCAGAUUCUGCAAGACCGCCCGUUUUACCACAACUGGAGUCACUGAAGCCCGAAAGCCCGCUGAUUGACAAGAAAAUUAAAUCUACAUCCCUUAUGAGAUGAAAAGCUUUGUGGCUUUUAUGAUCGCUUCAUUCCUUGUCGCCGGAGAAGUGUGGGUUACUGCUAUGACUGACUGCGUUGGCUUAUCCUGCUGCAACAGUGUGGACCUUUUGACGUUUGAGGAAAAGCCUUGUACCACUAUGAGACCAGGCAUGGUUCGCCUCAUCAACGGCC